UGCUGUGCUAAUAUACACUCAGAGGCAGCCAUUUUUGGUGGCCCACCCACCUUCAAGUCCCCCCGCGCCCCGCUCCCGCCAAACAAACUCUGACGUCCUAGCAUCAAGGCGCCAGACAGAGGGCGGAACGGUCCAAUGACUCCCACUCAGUAAAAGCCAGUUUUGUGUCCUUUGGUGCUUCUGCCGAUGAUUGGGCCAGGCGUGGUCAUGUGACCCAGCUCUGACCAAUGAGACUAAGCAGAAGGGUGCCGGGCACUUCCGGGAAAGAUUGUCCUCGCUGAGACCGGCGGGGAGGGGGCGUGGAGCGGGAAGCCUGUCUUGUCCUCCCCUCCUGCCGUCUCGGGAGGGUGUGGUGCCGUUGGGAGCCGUGGCAGCAUCCUGUGAAAGGGAAGGCGGCGGGGCCGACCCACUGAGCCUGAGGGAGGGCCUGAGGGCUGCCCGGCACAGCCGAGGGUGAAGACACUACAACAGCACGGUGUCUGGAUCUGGGUGCUCAAGACCCCCGAGCCCCAGCACGCAGAUCUCCACUCUCCAGAGAGAGACACAUCGAGAGAGGGAACACAAGCAGGGGGAGUGGGAGAGGGAGAAGCAGACUUCCCGCCGAGCAGGAGCCCGGUGCGGGGCUUGAUCCCAGGACUCUGGGAUCAUGACCGAAGCCGAAGCCAGAAGCUUAAUGACUGAGCCACCCAGGCGCCCCAUCAUUUUUCUUUCUAAUGUGUUUCUGUUUUAAAAAUAAAACAUUGUAAACACAAUUGUAGACCUCCUGCAUCCCAUUUCCUUCCUCUCCUCUUAUCCAAGUUUCAUCCAUGUUUUUUUAUUUUUAUUAAUAACAUGCAUAUGUCUAUAAAUGUUAUAUAGUAUGUUGUUUUUAAGCACUAUGUAAUUGGAUCCAUGCUGUAAUAUCCUUCAAAAUACAAUUUUUCCCAUUAAACAUAGUCUGUAUAGCUGGCAAUUCAUUUCUAA